rfam:Asian citrus Psyllid, Diaphorina citri - Florida Strain, whole genome shotgun sequence.
CUCUGUUUCUAAGUACUGGUGCCGCAGGAGAAAUUCUUUUUGAUUUGAAUUAUACAAAACUCCUGCAGCUCAAGUGCUUAUCAAUGGAC